rnacentral:rRNA from 1 species
GACGAACGCUGGCGGCGUGCCUAAUACAUGCAAGUAGAACGCACAGUUUAUACCGUAGCUUGCUACACCAUAGACUGUGAGUUGCGAACGGGUGAGUAACGCGUAGGUAACCUGCCUGGUAGCGGGGGAUAACUAUUGGAAACGAUAGCUAAUACCGCAUAAUAUUGAUUAUUGCAUGAUAAUUGAUUGAAAGAUGCUAUUGCAUCACUACCAGAUGGACCUGCGUUGUAUUAGCUAGUAGGUGAGGUAACGGCUCACCUAGGCGACGAUACAUAGCCGACCUGAGAGGGUGAUCGGCCACACUGGGACUGAGACACGGCCCAGACUCCUACGGGAGGCAGCAGUAGGGAAUCGUCGGCAAUGGACGAAAGUCUGACCGAGCAACGCCGCGUGAGUGAAGAAGGUUGUCGGAUCGUAAAGCUCUGUUGUAAGAGAAGAACGGGUGUGAGAGUGGAAAGUUCACACUGUGACGGUAUCUUACCAGAAAGGGACGGCUAACUACGUG